AAUGAACGUUGGCGGCAUGGAUUAGGCAUGCAAGUCGAGCGAGAAGUUUAAGUUUGACGCUUCGGUUGAUUUCUUAAAUGGAAAGCGGCGCAAGGGAGAGUAACGCGUAGUUAUCUGCCCCAAGGUCCGGAAUAGCCUCGGGAAACUGAGGGUAAUGCCGGAUAAUAUCCCCGGAUCAAAGGUGUGAUUCCGCCUUGGGAGGAGACUGCGUUGUACUAGCUUGUUGGUGGGGUAAUGGCCUACCAAGGCGAUGAUGCAUAGCGGGCGUGAGAGCGUGGCCCGUCUCACUGGGACUGAGACACUGCCCAGACACCUACGGGUGGCUGCAGUCGAGAAUCUUCCGCAAUGGACGCAAGUCUGACGGAGCGACGCCGCGUGCGGGAUGAAGGCCUUCGGGUUGUAAACCGCUGUCAGUGGGGUGGAAAUGCAUCGGGGCUAUCCCCGGCGUUUGACCUAACCGCAGAGGAAGUCCGGGCUAAGUACGUG
rnacentral:rRNA from 1 species